rnacentral:rRNA from 1 species
AUUAGUGGCGAACGGGUGAGUAACACGUGGGCAAUCUGCCCUUCACUCUGGGACAAGCCCUGGAAACGGGGUCUAAUACCGGAUAACACUCUGUCCCGCAUGGGACGGGGUUGAAAGCUCCGGCGGUGAAGGAUGAGCCCGCGGCCUAUCAGCUUGUUGGUGGGGUAAUGGCCUACCAAGGCGACGACGGGUAGCCGGCCUGAGAGGGCGACCGGCCACACUGGGACUGAGACACGGCCCAGACUCCUACGGGAGGCAGCAGUGGGGAAUAUUGCACAAUGGGCGAAAGCCUGAUGCAGCGACGCCGCGUGAGGGAUGACGGCCUUCGGGUUGUAAACCUCUUUCAGCAGGGAAGAAGCGAAAGUGACGGUACCUGCAGAAGAAGCGCCGGCUAACUACGUGCCAGCAGCCGCGGUAAUACGUAGGGCGCAAGCGUUGUCCGGAAUUAUUGGGCGUAAAGAGCUCGUAGGCGGCUUGUCACGUCGGAUGUGAAAGCCCGGGGCUUAACCCCGGGUCUGCAUUCGAUACGGGCUAGCUAGAGUGUGGUAGGGGAGAUCGGAAUUCCUGGUGUAGCGGUGAAAUGCGCAGAUAUCAGGAGGAACACCGGUGGCGAAUGCAGAUCUCUGGGCCAUUACUGACGCUGAGGGAGCGAAAGCGUGUGGAGCGAACAGGAUUAGAUACCCCUGGUAGUCCACGCCGUAAAC